ACGGGAGGCAGCAGUGGGGAAUAUUGCACAAUGGGCGCAAGCCUGAUGCAGCGAUGCCGCGUGAGGGAAGAAGGUUUUCGGAUUGUAAACCUCUGUCAACAGGGACGAAAAUGACGGUACCUGUGAAGGAAGCUCCGGCUAACUACGUGCCAGCAGCCGCGGUAAUACGUAGGGAGCAAGCGUUAUCCGGAAUUACUGGGUGUAAAGGGAGUGUAGGCGGGACUGUAAGUCAGAUGUGAAAUAUGCCGGCUCAACUGGCAGACUGCAUUUGAAACUGCGGUUCUUGAGUGAAGUAGAGGUAAGCGGAAUUCCUGGUGUAGCGGUGAAAUGCGUAGAUAUCAGGAGGAACACCGGUGGCGAAGGCGGAUUACUGGACGACAACUGACGCUGAAACACGAAAGCGUGGGGAGCAAACAGGAUUAGAUACCCUGGUA
rnacentral:rRNA from 1 species